rnacentral:rRNA from 1 species
UCAAUAUAGAUUGAAUUAGGAUUAAUUUAUUAAUUUUAUUAUUUUAUUAAUUAAAUUAUUAAAAAUAUUUAUAAAAAUUUAAGUUUAAGUAAUUUAUGAUGAAUAAAUAAUAUUAAUUAUAGUAAAUUAGUAUUGUGAAAGAAAAUUGAAAUAUUUUGAAAAAUUUUUAUUUUUAUAGAAAUUUUAAUUUAAUGUACCUUGUGUAUCAGGGUUGAUCAAAUAAAAAAUAAAAAUUUUUAUUUUUCUCGAUUUUAAAAGAGUUAAUAAAUUAUAAAAUUUAAUGUAACAAAAUUAUUUUAAAUAAUUUAUUAGAAAUGAAAUGUUAUUCGUUUUUAAAGGUAUCUAGUUUUUUUAGAAAUAAAUUUAAUUUAUAAAUUAUAAAUUUAUUUAUUUAAUUAAUUAAUUAAAUAAAUUUUUAAUUUAAAUAUUUUAUGGGAUAAGCUGUGAAAUAAAUUAUUAAAAAUAAUAAAUAAUUUAAUUAAAUGUAUAUUUAAAAUUAGUAAUCAUUUGUAAGUUUGUUAUAAAUUAUUUUUAUUUUCAAAUUAUUUAUUUAAUUUUAAUUUUUUAUAAAAAUAUUUAUUUAAAUUAUAUAAAUUAAGUAAUAAUGAUUAAAUUAGUAUAUUAAAUAAUGUUUAAAUAAAUUUAUAUGUUAGGUUUAUAUAAAGAAUUCGGCAAAAUUGUAUACUCGCCUGUUUAACAAAAACAUGUCUUUUUUGUAUUUUUUAAAAAGUCUAACCUGCCCACUGAAUAAUUUAAAUGGCCGCAGUAUAUUAACUGUGCAAAGGUAGCAUAAUCAUUAGUCUUUUAAUUGAAGGCUGGUAUGAAUGGUUGGACGAGGUAUAAACUGUUUCAUAUAAAUUAUUUAUAGAAUUUUAUUUUUUAGUUAAAAAGCUAAAAUAAAUUUAAAAGACGAGAAGACCCUAUAAAUCUUUAUAUUCUAUUUUAUUUUGAUUAUAUAGAUUAAUUUUAUUAUAAUUUUUUAGAAUAUUUUGUUGGGGUGAUAUUAAAAUUUAAUAAACUUUUAAUUAAUUAAGACAUUAAUUUAUGUUUGAUUGAUCCAUUAAUAAUGAUUAAAAAUUUAAGUUACUUUAGGGAUAACAGCGUAAUUUUUUUGGAGAGUUCAUAUCGAUAAAAAAGAUUGCGACCUCGAUGUUGGAUUAAGAUAUAAUUUUAGGUGUAGCCGCUUAAACUUUAAUUCUGUUCGACUUUUAAAUUCUUACAUGAUCUGAGUUCAAACCGGUG